rnacentral:tRNA from 1 species
GGUUCUAUGGUGUAAAUGUUAGCACUCUGGACUCUGAAUCUAGUGAACUGAGUUUAUAUCUCGGUAGGAACU